GAUGAACGCUGGCGGCGUGCCUAAUACAUGCCAGUCGAGCGAACGGACGAGAAGCUUGCUUCUCUGAUGUUAGCGGCGGACGGGUGAGUAACACGUGGAUAACCUACCUCUAAGACUGGGAUAACUUCGGGAAACCGGAGCUAAUACCGGAUAAUAUUUUGAACCGCAUGGUUCAAAAGUGAAAGACGGUCUUGCUGUCACUUAUAGAUGGAUCCGCGCUGCAUUAGCUAGUUGGUAAGGUAACGGCUUACCAAGGCAACGAUGCAUAGCCGACCUGAGAGGGGGGUCGGCCACACGGGAACGGAGACACGGUCCAGACGCCUACGGGAGGGAGCAGUAGGGAAUCUUCCGCAAUGGGCGAAAGCCUGACGGAGCAACGCCGCGUGAGUGAUGAAGGUCUUCGGAUCGUAAAACUCUGUUAUUAGGGAAGAACAUAUGUGUAAGUAACUGUGCACAUCUUGACGGUACCUAAUCAGAAAGCCACGGCUAACUACGUG
rnacentral:rRNA from 1 species